CUGAGGGGGGCGGGGGCGGGGGGGGGAGGGCAACGCCUCCUCUAAUGUUGGCCAGGUGCUGCCCCCCAGCUGCCUGGAGUGAGCGGGAGAGGAGUGAGAAACACUGCCCACAGCUUUGAGUAUCAUCACAGCCAGAAAAGUGCUGGUGUUGGUCUCCAAGGAUGCACACCCCGAGUAUCUCUGCUACCUCCAAGACUCAUUGAGACCCUGGAAGAACACCGCCCUGGUUCAGUCCCGGCUUCUGCUCUUGCCCUGUUGUUCUGCGGGUAUGUUCGCAGCAUGCCUCUGGACCCGCCACCAGAAUUCUGACAACCUCAUCAUAUUGUGGAAGGGUAAAAAAGUAUAGCUAGUGUCCCUCCAAGCCAUUGGGAAGAAAGAAAGAGGGCCAGCUCCUU
rnacentral:lncRNA from 1 species